GUCGCCUCCUAAAAGGUAACGGAGGCGCUCAAAGGUUCCCUCAGAAUGGUUGGAAAUCAUUCAUAGAGUGUAAAGGCAUAAGGGAGCUUGACUGCGAGACCUACAAGUCGAGCAGGGUCGAAAGACGGACUUAGUGAUCCGGUGGUUCCGCAUGGAAGGGCCAUCGCUCAACGGAUAAAAGCUACCCCGGGGAUAACAGGCUUAUCUCCCCCAAGAGUUCACAUCGACGGGGAGGUUUGGCACCUCGAUGUCGGCUCAUCGCAUCCUGGGGCUGUAGUCGGUCCCAAGGGUUGGGCUGUUCGCCCAUUAAAGCGGUACGCGAGCUGGGUUCAGAACGUCGUGAGACAGUUCGGUCCCUAUCCGUCGUGGGCGUAGGAAAUUUGAGAGGAGCUGUCCUUAGUACGAGAGGACCGGGAUGGACAUACCUCUGGUGUACCAGUUGUCGUGCCAACGGCAUAGCUGGGUAGCUAUGUGUGGACGGGAUAAGUGCUGAAAGCAUCUAAGCAUGAAGCCCCCCUCAAGAUGAGAUUUCCC
rnacentral:rRNA from 1 species